rnacentral:rRNA from 1 species
GACGAACGCUGGCGGCGUGCCUAAUACAUGCAAGUCGAACGCUGAAGGAGGAGCUUGCUUCUCUGGAUGAGUUGCGAACGGGUGAGUAACGCGUAGGUAACCUGCCUGGUAGCGGGGGAUAACUAUUGGAAACGAUAGCUAAUACCGCAUAAGAGUAGAUGUUGCAUGACAUUUGCUUAAAAGGUGCAAUUGCAUCACUACCAGAUGGACCUGCGUUGUAUUAGCUAGUUGGUGGGGUAACGGCUCACCAAGGCGACGAUACAUAGCCGACCUGAGAGGGUGUUCGGCCACACUGGGACUGAGACACGGCCCAGACUCCUACGGGAGGCAGCAGUAGGGAAUCUUCGGCAAUGGACGGAAGUCUGACCGAGCAACGCCGCGUGAGUGAAGAAGGUUUUCGGAUCGUAAAGCUCUGUUGUAAGAGAAGAACGAGUGUGAGAGUGGAAAGUUCACACUGUGACGGUAUCUUACCAGAAAGGGACGGCUAACUACGUG